AAAUGUCGAAGGGGAUAUGUGUUGAAUGCAGACCAGAAAACGUGCUCACGGCCAACGACAUGUGCCCAGGGACAUGACUGCCAGCAUAUUUGUGUAAACACAGAGGAUUCGUACAUCUGCAAGUGUCCUUUGGGAUAUGUGUUGAAUGCUGACCAGAAAACAUGCUCACGCUCUGAUCCAUGUGCCCAUGGACAUGAUUGCCAGCACAUUUGUGAGAACAAUGUUGACUCGUACAUCUGCAGGUGUCAAGUGGGAUAUAAGUUAAAUGCCGACAAAAAUACCUGCUCACGUUUGGACACAUGUGACCAGGGACAUGACUGCCAGCACAUUUGUGUCACAAAU